rnacentral:rRNA from 1 species
CACCGCGGUUAUACGAGAGGCCCGAGUUGAUAGCCCCCGGCGUAAAGAGUGGUUAAGACAAACUAGACACUAAAGCCGAAUGCCCUCAAAGCUGUUAUACGCACUCGAAGGCAAGAAGAACAAUCACGAAAGUGGCUUUAUUUUCCUGAAUCCACGAAAGCUAUGGUA